UACGGAGGGUGCAACCGUUGCUCGGAAUCAUUGGGCGUAAAGCGCACGUAGGCGGCCUGUUAAGUCGGAUGUGAAAGCCCCGGGCUCAACCCGGGAAGUGCAUACGAAACUGGCAGGCUUGAAUAUGGAAGAGGGUCGCGGAAUUCCCGGUGUAGAGGUGAAAUUCGUAGAUAUCGGGAGGAACACCAGUGGCGAAGGCGGCGACCUGGUCCAUAACUGACGCUGAGGAGCGAAAGCGUGGGGAGCGAACAGG
rnacentral:rRNA from 1 species